AGUGAGCUUUUUGGAGAAGAGACUGUCUUCCUAUGCACCGGGACAGCCCCUGGUGCUUCUUCAGUGCUACUGUAAUUCAAGAACAUGGCAAAUAAAAAGAUGGAAAUAUUCUCCCCUCUGGAAGCUGUGCAAAUCUGUGCUGUGCUGGAGGACUGUCUUGAUCAGCUUGCUAUUCUUGGAUAUAUUAUGCCAGUUUCCUAUGAGGGCAGGACAGACAUCAGCAAUAUUGAUGCCCAAGAAAUUAGUGAAAUCGUCAAGAGCCAGAAGGACUUGGGGGUUAAGUUUGAACAGCUCAUGUCAGCAAGGUCAGAGAACAGGCCAACAGUUCCCUCCGAGUCACUGAAGUUCACAGAACUGGGGCAGCAGCUGCAGGAGACGAGUGGAGAUCUAAAAAGGGCCAAUCAUCUUUUUAGUAGGGCUGCAAAACAGAGUGCUGUGUCCUCCGAUAACCUCAGAAAAGUUCAAGCUGAUAGGCAGUAUGCGAGCGAUGUGAUUGCAGAAACUCUGCAGGAAAUGCAGACUUCAGGAACGUUUCAGAGCCUGCUGCAAGCUGUGCAGAGAGAGAAGGAGAGGAAGUCUAACUUCCACACCACCAUCAUCAGGGAGGAGGAAGGAAGGAAGGAGAUAAAGUCCCUCCAGAAAUGGCUGCAAGAUGUCAAGAAAGAAAAGGAAUUAGAACUUCAGAACCGGAAUGAGAUGAUUGCAUACCUCAAAGACCAGCUUCAAGAGAUGAAGGCCAAGACAGACAUGGAGAGCCGCUAUGUGAAGAAAGACACAGAGCUCCAGGUCUACCAGACCCAGAAAAAGUGCAGCAAUGCAGAGAGUGACCUGUUCAAUGAAAUUGAGAAGCUGAGGAUCAAAACUGAUGAGGAGAUUAGAGUCCACGUGGAGAUUGAAAAUUUCCUCAGGCAACAACAGAUGUGUCACAGUAUGUCUCCCACACAGAAGUUGGAAGAGAAGCUAGAAUAUUGGAUGGAGAAGUAUGAAAAGGACACGGAAUCUAAACAGCAAGAACUGAACACUCUAAAAGCAUCCAAGGCAAAUGAUUUAGCAGCACUGCAGGAACUAGCCAAGCAGUGCCGGUUAUUUGAACAAGCCAUCAUGGAGGAUCGGGUGGAAAAGGAGGCAGCGAGAAGAAAGGUGGAGCAGGAUGCGCUGGAAUUAAAGAGCGUCAAGAAGCUCCAGGCCUGGUGGAGAGGCACAAUGGUUCGCCAUAACAUCGGCCCCUAUAAGGCCCUCAAGAAGUCUAAAGAGGACGAGCCAAAGGGCAAAGACGAAGGGAAAAAGGGAAAAGCUGGAGCUAAGAAAAAGAAGUGAUGGCCAUAGACUCCUGCUCUCAUUAGACCCACGGGGCCCUGGAAGUUUGGGCUCUCGCCAGGGAGGAACACUGGCUUGUGUGCACAGAGUAAAAAAUAAAGUCCUCAGCAGAGUUCAGGGCCAGGGCUCUGGGCCAGGCUGGAGUUCAUUUUCUUGACAGGAAGAAGUUUAAGAUGAAGUUUCUUGCACAGGUCUGACCUCUCCAGCUCAAGGUGCCAUGGAAACAGAAUCCACAUCAGAAUCGGUGACUGAGGCAGAGGACUGAGGUCAGGAAAUCCCGUAAUUUCUAAGUUCUUUACUGAGCUGGGUAUUACCCUCUUUUUACAGAUGUGAAACCUGAAGCACAGUGAAGCGGCUUGCCCAACGUCAUACAGCAAAUCAGUGGCCGAAUGGCUCAGGAUGGUAUUAGUCAUGGGACAGGCAGUGUCAUUUUUAGGCUACUUAAUCAAAUUCAGCCUACUUUAGUAAGCAGCUGAAAGUUACCGUACAAUGACUUUUCAGUGAGCUAUAUAAAAUGACAUGGAAGGUCUCCGUGUAGUUCUCAGCAGAGAGGUAUCUAUGGCACACCACCACCACCACCACCAAGCGGCAGCCAUACAGGCUGUUACAACUCAGCAGAGCCGUCAAGGACUAAAUGGAAUGUCAACCGUUCUCUCAGCCCAGCAAUGGCUCCUCAGGUGUGAGGGAAGACCAGGACACAGAGGGGAAGAUUACACUACUCCUGCUUACCUGCAAUACUCAGCUGUAGAUAAAAAUGGAGGACUUCACUCUUCAGGGCUGCCAAUUCUGUUGCUUGGCUCAGUAUUAAAGUUCAUCAAAAAAAUUAAAAGGUUUAAAAAGCAAAGAAGCCAAGAAGUUCUUGGUGCAAGGAGAGGAAGGCUCAUUAUUGCUGGGAAAAGGUUGUCAACGCUUCACCUAGAACAAUCUACAACAGGUGCAUCCCUGAGUUUUUAAUUUAUAGCCAACUCUGCCUGUGAACUCUAAGGAACCUCUUCACCACCACUUAUCUACAGCCCCAACAAUAAGAUGGAUGCCUGACGGACAGAAGAUAAAGCACCUGCCUUGAAAGUCGUACAAUAUUACAUGUAAAAAUGCAAGGAAAUAGAGUGCAACAGAGCUGCAUGAGUGAAAGAUGGAGUCUCGCAUGGUUCUUAGUACAGUCACUAUUUUUGUUUGGAUUUUGCAGGGGAAGAUCAGGCAUCCAAAACUAAAGCUUCUCCAUGUGGAAGGGGGACUAGGCCUUCUGGAGGAAGUGCGUUUUAAGGAGGCACACAGAGGAACAGGUGUGAGCCUCGUAGGACAGUCAAGAAGAGAUGCCAAGUAUAGAGGGCCAGGGACGGCAUGAAGAAUGGACUGUGGUAUAGGAGGUCAAAUUAGAUGAUCUGGUGGUUAGUCUCUUCUGGCCUUAAGCUCUAUGACUGACUGAGAGAAGAUCACACAAGGGGUGAUUAAGUCAUGAGGCUGGGGCAGAGCAGAGGGAGGCCGGACCCAAGCUGUACAGGGUCCUGAGGGUGAAAACACGGAGCCUGAAAACUGAUGCAAAAGUCAAGAGGCCGUUGGUCAAGGGAUCUGAAGAGUGGACCUGGAGUGGGGGACAUGGCC